UUUUGGACGAACGCUGGCGGCAUGCCUAACACAUGCAAGUCGAACGAACCCUUCGGGGUUAGUGGCGCACGGGUGCGUAACGCGUGGGAAUCUGCCCUUUGCUGCGGGAUAACAGUGAGAAAUCGCUGCUAAUACCGCAUAAUGACUACGGUCCAAAGAUUUAUCGGCAAAGGAUGAGCCCGCGUAAGAUUAGCUUGUUGGUGGGGUAAAAGCCUACCAAGGCGACGAUCUUUAGCUGGUCUGAGAGGAUGAUCAGCCACACUGGGACUGAGACACGGCCCAGACUCCUACGGGAGGCAGCAGUGGGGAAUAUUGGACAAUGGGCGAAAGCCUGAUCCAGCAAUGCCGCGUGAGUGAUGAAGGCCUUAGGGUUGUAAAGCUCUUUUACCAGGGAUGAUAAUGACAGUACCUGGAGAAUAAGCUCCGGCUAACUCCGUGCCAGCAGCCGCGGUAAUACGGAGGGAGCUAGCGUUGUUCGGAAUUCUGGGCGUAAAGCGCGCGUAGGCGGUGAUUCAAGUCAGAGGUGAAAGCCCGGGGCUCAACCCCGGAACUGCCUUUGAAACUAGAUUGCUAGAAUCUUGGAGAGGUCAGUGGAAUUCCGAGUGUAGAGGUGAAAUUCGUAGAUAUUCGGAAGAACACCAGUGGCGAAGCACUGACUGGACAAGUUUGACGCUGAGGUGCAAAGCGUGGGGACAAACAGAUUAGAUACCCUGGUAGUCACGCCCUAAACAUGAUACUAGUUGUCGGCCUUUAGGUUGAGGACCCACUACCCUAGUAUCCCCUGGGAGUCGGCCAAAUAACUAAGAUUACGGCCUUCACCGGGACUUGGUAUCAAACCCACUCAUUUAUCUA
rnacentral:rRNA from 1 species